GGAUCAGGUAGGAAUACCCGCUGAACUUAAGCAUAUCAAUAAGCGGAGGA
rnacentral:rRNA from 7 species